CUCAAGGCCCAAGGAAUUUUGCAUUUCAUGAGUAAUCAUUGUUGUCCAAAAAGAUAUUGAAAUUAUAAUAAAAUGCUUCCAAAGUAGAAUGUCAUAGGCUCAAAAAACAAAAUUAUAAUACAAUAAUAAGAUUUCAAACUUGAGGCCGACAUUAGUAAUAGAUUUUGGUCCAACAUAGCUAGUUGGAAUGCAAACAAAAUAUUAAAA
rnacentral:lncRNA from 1 species